rnacentral:rRNA from 1 species
UAGGGAAUCUUCGGCAAUGGACGAAAGUCUGACCGAGCAACGCCGCGUGAGUGAAGAAGGUUUUCGGAUCGUAAAACUCUGUUGUUAGAGAAGAACAAGGACGUUAGUAACUGAACGUCCCCUGACGGUAUCUAACCAGAAAGCCACGGCUAACUACGUGCCAGCAGCCGCGGUAAUACGUAGGUGGCAAGCGUUGUCCGGAUUUAUUGGGCGUAAAGCGAGCGCAGGCGGUUUCUUAAGUCUGAUGUGAAAGCCCCCGGCUCAACCGGGGAAGGUCAUUGGAAACUGGGAGACUUGAGUGCAGAAGAGGAGAGUGGAAUUCCAUGUGUAGCGGUGAGAUGAGUAGAUAUAUGGAGGAACCCCAGUGGCGAAGGCGGCUCUCUGGUCUGUAACUGACGCUGAGGCUCGAAAGCGUGGGGAGCAAACAGG